CCUACGGGAGGCAGCAGUGAGGAAUAUUGGUCAAUGGACGAAAGUCUGAACGAGCCAUGCCGCGUGAAUGAAGACGGCUCUAUGAGCUGUAAACUGCUUUUGUACGAGGGUAAACGCAGAUACGCGUAUCUGUCUGAAAGUAUCGUACGAAUAAGGAAAGGCGAAAUCAGUGCCAGCAGCCGCGGUAAUACGGAGGAUUCAAGCGUUAUCCGGAGUUAUUGGGUGUAAAGGGUGCGUAGGCGGUCGGAUAAGUUAGAGGUGAAAUCCCGAGGCUCAACUUCGGAAUUGCCUCUGAUACUGUUCGACUAGAGAGUAGAUGCGGUAGGCGGAAUGUAUGGUGUAGCGGUGAAAUGCGUAGAGAUCAUACAGAACACCGGUUGCGAAGGCAGCUUACCAAGCUACUUCUGACGCUGAUGCACGAAAGCGUGGGGAGCAAACAGGAUUAGAUACCCCUGUAGUC
rnacentral:rRNA from 1 species